UUCCAAGUCCAGAUUCGAAUCGGAAUCCCUCACGCUUCAUCAAGCUCCUGAAAUCUUGAAAACCCUUCCUUCUUCACUCUCACACUGACCGAGUAUGGGAGACCGAGAAAGAGAGCGAGACAGAGAACGAGACCGGGAGAGAAUCCGAGACCGGGACCGAGACAGAGACAGACGCCGUGACAGAGACGACCGUGAUCGUGACCGCGACCGCGACCGUGUCCGGAGCAAGAGGUCACGUACGCCGGACCGCAGCAGAGCACGCCACACGCGCUCCCGCACGCGCUCGCCGGACUUGUACCACUCACGCUCCCUCUCCCGUUCCCGCACUCCAGAAGACCGCUCCCACCGCCGCCGCCACCACCACCGCAGCCCCUCCCCGGAGUCGCGGAAGCGUGCGCGGCGCGAGCCGACGGUGGAGGAGGAGAAGGACCGGCAGAAGGUGGUGUCGGAAUUCGUGGAGGGGAUUGCGAAGGAGCAGCAGAAGCAGAGCGGCGGUGGUGGAGAGGGCGGUGCGGACGAGGACGAGGUUGAGAUGAUGAAGAAGUUGGGGAUUCCGGUAGGGUUUGAUUCCACGAAAGGGAAGCCGGUGCCGGGGGCCGAUGUGAGUGGUGUUAGGGCCGUCACGAAGCGCCAGCCUAGACAGUACAUGAACCGCCGCGGCGGAUUUAACCGGCCGUUGCCUGCAGAGCGCAAUCGCUAGAAUACUGGAGUUUAUAAGCCGGAUUAGGCAGAAUGGGUCACUUAUGAUUUCACAGUUGCUUAUCUGGAGCAACUUAUUCCAAUAAGACUCCUCCUCUGUAGAGGUAUGGGGUUUGACCUUCUAUCGGUGGGUUGGGUGGGAGGUUCUUCUAAUGUUGGAACACCCUUGACGUACCCUUUCUUGUUCAUGAGGAAACGUAUGGUCAUGUCCUCAGUGACUUUGAUGUUGAAAGGCACCAGCAGGAGAACAAUCAAUGUGAAUGCGUGGCAUUUCACCCCUACAAAUCACGGGGAUUGGGUCGAUUUCCGAAGUGAUUUAUUAUUUCAUCUUGGAUCUGAAAGUCGAAAAGAAUGCUCAUAUUCUCCCAGGUUUGUAGAAGAUCUAUGCUUGGAGAAGUCCCAACUUGUGCAUUCAACAAGCUAUGGAGGCAUAACAGUUUUUUUUUUUUUUAGAGGCUUUUUUGCUUCUUGCAUUUUUGUUGAUCUUACAAUGCGAUU